GACGAACGCUGGCGGCGUGCUUAACACAUGCAAGUCGAACGGAAAGGCCCUGCUUUUGUGGGGUGCUCGAGUGGCGAACGGGUGAGUAACACGUGAGUAACCUGCCCUUGACUUUGGGAUAACUUCAUGAAACUGGGGCUAAUACCGGAUAGGAGCUCCUGCUGCUUGGUGGGGGUUGGAUAGUUUCGGCGGUUGGGGAUGGACUCGCGGCUUAUCAGCUUGUUGGUGGGGUAGUGGCUUACCAAGGCUUUGACGGGUAGCCGGCCUGAGAGGGUGACCGGCCACAUUGGGACUGAGAUACGGCCCAGACUCCUACGGGAGGCAGCAGUGGGGAAUAUUGCACAAUGGGCGGAAGCCUGAUGCAGCAACGCCGCGUGCGGGAUGACGGCCUUCGGGUUGUAAACCGCUUUCGCCUGUGACGAAGCGUGAGUGACGGUAAUGGGUAAAGAAGCACCGGCUAACUACGUG
rnacentral:rRNA from 1 species